GAGGAUGUAGCUCAGUGGUAAAGUAUAUGCUUAGCAAGCAGAAGGCCUUGGGUUUGAUUCCUGACACCACA
rnacentral:tRNA from 1 species